CAGCUCCGAGGCGAGGGGUCACAGUGGCCGGGAAGGGUGGAGCGAGCCGGGAAACGGAUCUGGGGGUUCCGAGCUGCGCAGCGCCGCCGCUGAGAACUUAGCGGUUCCGCCGCCCACCUCCGGGCUGGGGCAGCGGACGACUGGCUUUGGUGGACGCGCAGAAGUUCGGGUCACACCGGGUUCCCACUGUGGCCCCUCCCUCUCUCCCCUUCUCCCCAUUCCCCGAACCCCAAAGAUUUGCAAAGUGCUGGCUCUGCCUUCUCAACUUUUGAAUGGUGUUCCUGGCACUGGUAAACACAGCAGUAACUGACCUUGGAAAAAUGACACCAGCAAGCCAGACUGGACACUUGAGGAACUGGCCCUUGUUCCUCAGGCCAUUUGCAUUUUCAUGGGAGAAAUUAAGGUUAAUCUGGAAUUGUGGAAUGCCUUCCUUGUUAUGUUCAAUCAGUGAAUACCUCACCCCAUUCCUGCACCCCAAUGUAAAGGAACUUAGGAAAAAAGGUCUCAGUCCAAGAUGGGAAGAUUUUUAAGAAACCUCCUUUCUGGUAUCACUGCUCUGUAGUCUUUGACAGCUAGGAAUGUUGUAAGUCUUUUCUGGAAAUAGAAGCUUUGUGUAUUGGAGUCUGAG